GGAUGUUAGAGCAAUCUGACAGUGACAUCUGUCACUCCACUGAUGCCAGGUUUGAUUGGGGGGAUUUCACUGGUAGAACAGUGACCAGUGAUUCCCUCACUGUUCUGUAUUUGUCACCCUACCACAGCCAUUGGUCAACCCCAGGAUGCCACUGAAGUCAAAGAGGGUGAUACUCUCAGAGAGAGGAGGACCAUCCUGCUAGGACCUCAAAGUAAAUCUCAUAGUUUCAUAUGUAAAUGUCAAUUUCCAUUCAAUUUUUUGUUUGUAAAAAUUAAAUGCUUUUAAGAUGUGAUGAAGUUGUUCAUU
rnacentral:sRNA from 1 species